rnacentral:rRNA from 1 species
CCUACGGGUGGCAGCAGUGAGGAAUAUUGGUCAAUGGGCGAGAGCCUGAACCAGCCAAGCCGCGUGAGGGAGUACUGCCCUAUGGGUUGUAAACCUCUUUUGUCGGGGAGCAAAAGCCGGACGUGUCCGGCUGUGAGAGUACCCGAAGAAAAAGCAUCGGCUAACUCCGUGUCAGCAGCCGCGGUAAUACGGAGGAUGCGAGAGUUAUCCGGAUUUAUUGGGUUAAAAGGGUGCGCAGGCGGAUUUUUAAGUCAGCGGUAAAAUCGUGGGGCUCAACCCCAUCCAGUCGUUGAAACUGGGGAUCUAGAGUGUGGGAGAGGUAUGCAGAAUGCGUGGUGUAGCGGUGAAAUGCAUAGAUAUCACGCAGAACCCCGGUUGCGAAGGCAGCAUACCGGUGCACAACUGACGCUCAGGCACGAAAGCGUGGGUAUCGAACAGGAUUAGAUACCCCUGUAGUC